rnacentral:rRNA from 1 species
CCUACGGGAGGCAGCAGUGGGGGAUAUUGCACAAUGGGGGAAACCCUGAUGCAGCGACGCCGCGUGGGUGAAGAAGCGCCUCGGCGCGUAAAGCCCUGUCAGCAGGGAAGAAAAUGACGGUACCUGAAGAAGAAGCCCCGGCUAACUACGUGCCAGCAGCCGCGGUAAUACGGAGGGGGCAAGCGUGAUCCGGAUUUACUGGGUGUAAAGGGGGCGCAGACGGCGAUGCAAGCCAGGAGUGAAAGCCCGGGGCCCAACCCCGGGACUGCGCGUGGAACUGCGUGGCUAGAGUGCAGGAGGGGCAGGCGGAAUGCCUGGUGUAGCGGUGAAAUGCGUAGAUAUCAGGAGGAACACCGGUGGCGAAGGCAGCCUGCUGGACUGCAACUGACGUUGAGGCCCGAAAGCGUGGGGAGCAAACAGGAUUAGAUACCCUUGUAGUC